GCAGGAAUUACAGACAGGAACCUGUGAGGGGGACAAGGGCAAUGCCUGAAUCUGGGUGACUGGGGAAACGGGAAGUGGAGGGGUGGGAGACAGCUUGGCUGGAUGUGGAGGUGGAGAGGAGAUGAGAAGAAAAGAUUGCCUCUGGAGUCAGUGACCUGGAGGGGCAAGUAACCCACCCAUGCCUUGUAGGUGCAAGUCUGGAAAUUACUUGUUCCCAUCUGAUUCAAUGAACAAUUGCAAAACCUGGCAAUCCGGAUGAAGCCAAGCAUUCUGAAUCUUAAUUUAUUUUUCUGUUUUUCCAAUAAAAAGGUCUUCCAAAG
rnacentral:lncRNA from 1 species